AUCCAGCUGAAGAGUCCCAAAUAAGACGAAAUGUGCAUCCUAGAU
rnacentral:hammerhead_ribozyme from 1 species